UACGUAGGGGGCAAGCGUUGUCCGGAAUUACUGGGCGUAAAGCGUGCGUAGGUGGUGAGUUAAGUCUGUCGUGAAAGCCCCGGGCUCAACCUGGGAAUGGCGAUGGAUACUGGCUCGCUAGAGUGCGGUAGAGGAGAGUGGAAUUCCCGGUGUAGCAGUGAAAUGCGUAGAGAUCGGGAGGAACAUCAGUUGCGAAGGCGGCUCUCUGGACCAGCACUGACACUGAGGAGCGAAAGCGUGGGGAGCGAACAGG
rnacentral:rRNA from 1 species